rnacentral:rRNA from 1 species
AGAGUUUGAUCAUGGCUCAGGAUGAACGCUAGCUACAGGCUUAACACAUGCAAGUCGAGGGGAAACGACAUCGAAAGCUUGCUUUUGAUGGGCGUCGACCGGCGCACGGGUGAGUAACGCGUAUCCAACCUGCCCACCACUUGGGGAUAACCUUGCGAAAGUAAGACUAAUACCCAAUGACGUCUCUAGAAGACAUCUGAAAGAGAUUAAAGAUUUAUCGGUGAUGGAUGGGGAUGCGUCUGAUUAGGCUUGUUGGCGGGGUAACGGCCACCAAGGCGACGAUCAGUAGGGGUUCUGAGAGGAAGGUCCCCCACAUUGGAACUGAGACCACGGUCCAAACUCCUACGGGAGCCA